AGGAGCUUAGGUUAAUACCUUCAAACCUAGGGCCUUCAAAGCCCUCAAUAGGAGUGAAAACCCCCUAGCUCUUG
rnacentral:tRNA from 1 species